rnacentral:rRNA from 1 species
GCCCUUUCCGUAGGUGAACCUGCGGAGGGAUCAUUACACAAAUAUGAAGGCGGGCUGGAACCUCUCGGGGUUACAGCCUUGCUGAAUUAUUCACCCUUGUCUUUUGCGUACUUCUUGUUUCCUUGGUGGGUUCGCCCACCACUAGGACAAACAUAAACCUUUUGUAAUUGCAAUCAGCGUCAGUAACAAAUUAAUAAUUACAACUUUCAACAACGGAUCUCUUGGUUCUGGCAUCGAUGAAGAACGCAGCGAAAUGCGAUAAGUAGUGUGAAUUGCAGAAUUCAGUGAAUCAUCGAAUCUUUGAACGCACAUUGCGCCCUUUGGUAUUCCAAAGGGCAUGCCUGUUCGAGCGUCAUUUGUACCCUCAAGCUUUGCUUGGUGUUGGGCGUCUUGUCUCUAGCUUUGCUGGAGACUCGCCUUAAAGUAAUUGGCAGCCGGCCUACUGGUUUCGGAGCGCAGCACAAGUCGCACUCUCUAUCAGCAAAGGUCUAGCAUCCAUUAAGCCUUUUUUUCAACUUUUGACCUCGGAUCAGGUAGGGAUACCCGCUGAACUUAAGCAUAUCAAUAAGCGGAGG